UGCCUCCUACGCUGCCUGCCCAAGCCGCGCGGGGCUGCGCUCCGCCUGGCUCCCGAGCGCUCCGGCGGGGCGGCCGUGCGGCGCUGGACGCGCCGUGGGCGCCUCGGGGGAGCAGAAGGGACGGAGACUCAAGACCGCACCGAAACAAGCUCAGCCACAGGUGAUGAAGGGUACGUAUGGGCUGGGGCGCAAGCCAUGGCGCACGCGGCCUACUGCCAGACAAGGAGAUGCUGUGAGCAGGUAGCCCUGCUCCGGCUUCGAGAAUGAGACCACGGGCCUUAGAUGCAAGCUGCAAUAACAGGAUAA
rnacentral:misc_RNA from 1 species